GGAGUACGGCCGCAAGGUUAAAACUCAAAUGAAUUGACGGGGGCCCGCACAAGCGGUGGAGCAUGUGGUUUAAUUCGAUGCAACGCGAAGAACCUUACCUGGUCUUGACAUCCACGGAAGUUUUCAGAGAUGAGAAUGUGCCUUCGGGAACCGUGAGACAGGUGCUGCAUGGCUGUCGUCAGCUCGUGUUGUGAAAUGUUGGGUUAAGUCCCGCAACGAGCGCAACCCUUAUCCUUUGUUGCCAGCGGUCCGGCCGGGAACUCAAAGGAGACUGCCAGUGAUAAACUGGAGGAAGGUGGGGAUGACGUCAAGUCAUCAUGGCCCUUACGACCAGGGCUACACACGUGCUACAAUGGCGCAUACAAAGAGAAGCGACCUCGCGAGAGCAAGCGGACCUCAUAAAGUGCGUCGUAGUCCGGAUUGGAGUCUGCAACUCGACUCCAUGAAGUCGGAAUCGCUAGUAAUCGUGGAUCAGAAUGCCACGGUGAAUACGUUCCCGGGCCUUGUACACACCGCCCGUCACACCAUGGGAGUGGGUUGCAAAAGAAGUAGGUAGCUUAACCUUCGGGAGGGCGCUUACCACUUUGUGAUUCAUGACUGGGGUGAAGUCGUAACAAGGUAACCGUAGGGGAACCUGCGGUUGGAUCACCUCCUUACCUUAAAGAAGC
rnacentral:rRNA from 1 species